GUGCUCACUUCAGCAGCAUAUAUACUAAAAUUGGAAUGAUACAGAGAAGAUUAACAUGGCCCCUGCACAAGGAUGACAUGAUUAAAAAUUUUGAAAAAAGAAAAACCAACUU
rnacentral:snRNA from 1 species